rnacentral:tRNA from 1 species
GGAGAGAUGGCCGAGAGGUCGAAGGCGGUUGACUCGAAAUCAAUUGAUCGUAUCAACGAUCCGGGGGUUCGAAUCCCUCUCUCUCCGCCA